rnacentral:rRNA from 1 species
GAUGAACGCUGGCGGCGUGCCUAAUACAUGCAAGUCGAACGGGGAGUAUUUACUUCGGUUUUUUACUCCUAGUGGCGAACGGGUGAGUAACGCGUUGGUGACCUGCCCCGAAGAGGGGGAUAAACUCCGCGAAAGCGGAGCUAAUACCCCAUGUGGUCCUUGAGGUUAGAGGCUUUGGGACUAAAGGAGCAAUCCACUUCGGGAGGGGCCUGCGUCCCAUCAGCUAGUUGGUAGGGUAACGGCCUACCAAGGCGAUGACGGGUAGGGGGCCUGAGAGGGUGGCCCCCCACACUGGCACUGAAACACGGGCCAGACACCUACGGGUGGCAGCAGUAGGGAAUAUUGCACAAUGGGCGAAAGCCUGAUGCAGCAACGCCGCGUGCGCGAAGAAGGCCUUCGGGUUGUAAAGCGCUUUUCUGGAGGAAGAGGAAGGACGGUACUCCAGGAAUAAGGAUCGGCUAACUACGUG